rnacentral:lncRNA from 1 species
GAAUUGCCCAGCAGCUGUCUUUUUCAUUUCCUUUGCUUGUGGUUUGCCCAUCUGUCAGCUGUGAAUGACCCAAACAACACCACACGCUAUUUCUAACUCAACAGUCCUGGAACUUUCUUGACCUUUGACAAAGCCACCAGAUCACCAUCACCAUCAUUAUUGUUUAUAGAAACAUGAAAAUUCAACCAUAAAAAGUCAUCUUGCAUCUUGGCUAUGUCAAUGCCAAAGUUCAUGAGUUGAGAGAU